rnacentral:rRNA from 1 species
UAAUACGGAGGGUGCAAGCGUUGUUCGGAUUUACUGGGCGUAAAGGGCGUGUAGGCGGAUGCGCAAGCUGGGGGUGAAAGGCCAGGGCUCAACCCUGGAUUGUCUCUCAGAACUGCGCGUCUAGAGAAAGUCAGAGGCAGGUGGAAUUCCAGGUGUAGAGGUGAAAUUCGUAGAGAUCUGGAGGAACAUCGGCGGCGAAGGCGGCCUGCUGGGGCUUUUCUGACGCUGAGGCGCGAAAGCGUGGGUAGCAAACAUGAUUAGAUACCCUGGUAGUCCACGCUGUAAACGAUGAGCACUCGAUGUGCGGGGUACGACCCCUCGCGUGUCACAGCUAACGCAAUAAGUGCUCCGCCUGGGGAUUACGGUCGCAAGACUA